rnacentral:rRNA from 1 species
UACGUAGGUCCCGAGCGUUGUCCGGAUUUAUUGGGCGUAAAGCGAGCGCAGGUGGUUUAUUAAGUCUGGUGUAAAAGGCAGUGGCUCAACCAUUGUAUGCAUUGGAAACUGGUAGACUUGAGUGCAGGAGAGGAGAGUGGAAUUCCAUGUGUAGCGGUGAAAUGCGUAGAUAUUAGGAGGAACACCAGUGGCGAAGGCGGCCUACUGGACGGUGACUGACGCUGAGGCUCGAAAGCGUGGGGAGCAAACAGG